rnacentral:rRNA from 1 species
UACGUAGGGUGCAAGCGUUGUCCGGAAUUAUUGGGCGUAAAGAGCUCGUAGGCGGUCUGUCGCGUCGGCUGUGAAACCCGGGCCUCAACCCCGGGCCUGCAGUCGAUACGGGCAGACUAGAGUGCGGUAGGGAGACUGGAAUUCCUGGUGUAGCGGUGAAAUGCGCAGAUAUCAGGAGGAACACCGGUGGCGAAGGCGGUCUCUGGGCCGUAACUGACGCUGAGGAGCGAAAGCGUGGGAGCGAACAGG